GUUGUGGUCUCAUCCCUCCUCGGGGAGAUCAGAGUCACAAAAACUCAAUUUGUUACCAGCGGUGAUAUUUGCAACAAUGCUAUCAAACUGUUCUAGCGUGACAUUGUGAUCUACGUAUGCCACAUCCAACACCUUCUGCAGAGCCUCUCAGUGUGGUUCUGAAUUCAAAAGCAAUGAUAACACAAAUAUUUUGGAUGGUGUUUGUAGAAGCUGGUCUACAACAUUGUAC
rnacentral:lncRNA from 1 species